rnacentral:rRNA from 1 species
GGCAGAGGCCUCGAGCGUUAGGCGGAAUCACUGGGCUUAAAGCGUGUGUAGGCGGAUCGUUAAGUACCUUGUGAAAUCCCACGGCUCAACCGUGGAACGGCUGGGUAUACUGGCGGUCUUGGGCCAUUCAGGGGCGACUGGAACAAGCGGUGGAGCGGUGAAAUGCGUAGAUAUCGCUUGGAACGCCGAAGGUGAAAACAGGUCGCUGGGGAUGUGCCGACGCUGAGACACGAAAGCCAGGGGAGCAAACGGG